rnacentral:rRNA from 1 species
GAUGAACGCUGGCGGCGUGCCUAAUACAUGCAAGUAGAACGCUGAAGGAGGAGCUUGCUCUUCUGGAUGAGUUGCGAACGGGUGAGUAACGCGUAGGUAACCUGCCUGGUAGCGGGGGAUAACUAUUGGAAACGAUAGCUAAUACCGCAUGACAACAGUUAUUGCAUGAUAACUGUUUAAAAGGGGCAACUGCUCCACUACCAGAUGGACCUGCGUUGUAUUAGCUAGUUGGUGAGGUAACGGCUCACCAAGGCGACGAUACAUAGCCGACCUGAGAGGGUGAUCGGCCACACUGGGACUGAGACACGGCCCAGACUCCUACGGGAGGCAGCAGUAGGGAAUCUUCGGCAAUGGACGGAAGUCUGACCGAGCAACGCCGCGUGAGUGAAGAAGGUUUUCGGAUCGUAAAGCUCUGUUGUAAGAGAAGAACGAGUGUGAGAGUGGAAAGUUCACACUGUGACGGUAUCUUACCAGAAAAGGACGGCUAACUACGU